rnacentral:piRNA from 1 species
UCCAUUUUCCAUGAUGAACAACCAACAAA